CCUACGGGAGGCUGCAGUGGGGAAUAUUGGACAAUGGGCGAAAGCCUGAUCCAGCCAUGCCGCGUGUGUGAAGAAGGUCUUCGGAUUGUAAAGCACUUUAAGUUGGGAGGAAGGGCAGUAAGCUAAUACCUUGCUGUUUUGACGUUACCGACAGAAUAAGCACCGGCUAACUCUGUGCCAGCAGCCGCGGUAAUACAGAGGGGGCAAGCGUUAAUCGGAAUUACUGGGCGUAAAGCGCGCGUAGGUGGUUGGUUAAGUUGGAUGAGAAAGCCCCGGGCUCAACCUGGGAGCUGCAUCCAAAACUGGCAAGCUAGAGUACGGUAGAGGGUGGUGGAAUUUCCUGUGUAGCGGUGAAAUGCGUAGAUAUAGGAAGGAACACCAGUGGCGAAGGCGACCACCUGGACUGAUACUGACACUGAGGUGCGAAAGCGUGGGGAGCAAACAGGAUUAGAUACCCCGGUAGUC
rnacentral:rRNA from 1 species